UCUGACUUUAGACAUUGCUGCACAUUCGCCCUUAGAGUUUGAUCCUGGCUCAGAAUCAACGCUGGCGGCGUGCCUAACACAUGCAAGUCGAACGAGAAAGUGGAGCAAUCCAUGAGUACAGUGGCGACCGGGUGAGUAACACGUGAUCAACCUACCCUCGAGUGGGGGAUAACUCCGGGAAACCGGAGCUAAUACCGCAUAACAUCUUCGGUCCACAUGAACUGAUGAUCAAAGGAGCAAUUCGCUUGAGGAGGGGGUCGCGGCUGAUUAGCUAGUUGGUAGGGUAGUGGCCUACCAAGGCUUAGAUCGGUAUCCGGCCUGAGAGGGCGCACGGACACACUGGAACUGAAACACGAUCCAGACUCCUACGGGAGGCAGCAGUGGGGAAUUUUGCGCAAUGGGGGAAACCCUGACGCAGCAACGCCGCGUGGAGGAUGAAGUCCCUUGGGACGUAAACUCCUUUCGACCGGGAAGAUACUGACGGUACCGGAUGAAGAAGCACCGGCUAACUCUGUGCCAGCAGCCGCGGUAAUACAGAGGGUGCGAGCGUUGUUCGGAAUUAUUGGGCGUAAAGGGCGCGUAGGCGGCGCGGUAAGUCACCUGUGAAAUCUCCUGGCUCAACUGGGAGCUUGCGGGCGAAACUGCCGUGCUGGAGUGUGGGAGAGGUGCGUGGAAUUCCUGGUGUAGCGGUGAUACGCGUAGAUAUCGCGAGGAACACCUGUGGCGAAAGCGGCGCACUGGACCACAACUGACGCUGAGCGCGAAAGCUAGGGGAGCAAACACGAUUAGAUACCCUGGUAGUCCUAGGCCUAACGAUGGAUGCUCGGUGCGAUCAGUACCCAAUCGAUCGUGCGAAGCUCACGCGAUAGCAUCCGGCUGAGGGAGUAAGUUCGCAAGGUGAAUUCAAAGAUUGACCGGGGCCGCUACAGCGGGUGGAGCAUGUGAGUUCAUCAACGCACGCGACAACUUUACUAGCUG
rnacentral:rRNA from 1 species